AGGUACCUUAUCCUUAGAUGGAUGGCCCCCUUUUUUGGAUCUUUCACAAGAAGUCCCUUCACCUCGUCGUGGAAAGUAUGAAAAGCGACCUUAUGUUCCCCAUAACCUCGAAACAAAGUAUUCUUUGUGGUUGAUUUUAAGUGUGGAUUGAGGCAUCUAUCAUUGAUCUAGAACCAAUGCCGGCAGUUAAAAUGAAAUCUAAAUCAGUCACAAGUUGUGUAAAAGAAGGAAAUAGUCUUCAUGUUUGCCGGAAGUCGAAUAAAACAUUCAAGAAAUCGUGUUCCCAGACAUGGAUAUCUCAGGAAGCAGCAGACCUGGGCACGCCAAGUCAAAGUUGUCCAAUUGGUCUGCAUCCAUUUUUAUAUGUUUGUGAUUCAAUGAUAAGUCAGCUACCUGCCCUGGAAAUGGGAUCUGAUGAAGCUGCUGGCCAUAAGGACGGAGAAACUAUCCUUUUACAAAAUUGUUCAUUUUCUGCUGAGGAUACAGAGUCUUUUGAAAAAAUGGGGUUUUCAUCUUCUACUUGUUCAACACACUUGGAAACAAUAUUCUCUCCUAUUGUAGAAUUCAAUGAUGUCCACUGGAAACAGGAUAAUACUGGGAGCAAGAAAGACACUGCUGUGCGCCAAAUGACAAUUCAUUACAAUGAUGGUGACAAUGAGAGCAGUAACUUGUCUGGUUAUCAAAGUGUUUUAGCUCCUUGUAUCUUUGACAUGAGUGUCACUGGCUCACCCAUCACUGCAAUUGCUCAAUGCGAUGAAAUUGUAAAAGCUAAUUUCUCUGCUGAUUUUGAAUAUGCUGAUGCUGAACCAAGUAUGAUGAUUGAUAUGGCUGAGAGAUGUAUGAUGUUGCCUUCACUUGAGGAAACAGUGGAAACAGUCAAUACCCAUUAUUCAGGAUCAUGUGGAGAAUUUCUGAUGAAUUCAGAUGAUUCAUGGUUUUAUCUUUUGAGUCAUCAGUCAAAACCCUGUGAUCAAGAGCUUGAUGUCAAUGCCAGCGCUAUUGAUUCUGAUGAAGUGGACUGUUUUGAUCCACAGCUGUUCAUUAGAAAUUUUCCUGAUCUUUCAGAAGGACCUAAUUGGUUGCCUGCAUUAUCGCCCAGGGAAACGAAGAAAAAGCAGAUUACCCUAGUCCUUGAUUUGGAUGAAACACUUGUUCACUCUUCUCUUGAACCCUGUGAAGAUGCAGACUUCACAUUCCCAGUUUUAUUUGACAUGAAAGAGCACACAGUGUAUGUACGACAAAGGCCCUUCCUACGGACUUUUUUGGAGAAAGUGGCAGAGAUGUUUGAAAUUAUUGUCUUCACAGCCAGUCAAAGCAUCUAUGCUGAACAGCUGCUGGAUGUCCUGGAUCCUGAUAAAAUAUUUUUUUCUCGACGUGCAUAUCGGGAAUCUUGCAUAUUUUCAGAUGGUGGCUACACCAAAGAUUUGACAGUUUUAGGUGUUGACUUGGCCAAAGUUGCUAUUAUUGAUAAUUCUCCACAGAAUGAAAUAGAGUGAGAAUGGAAUAGCUAUUGUAUGGGAUAUCACAGUGAACAAGCGAAAAGAUGGUGUCAUUCUAACAUAAAUGAACAUGCAAAAGCUUCUGCUUUCACAACUGACAUUGAAGAUAGACAAGGAAUGAGGCGUGUCUAUUCCUAUUGUAUUCCAUAUUAAUCGGGGUAGUACCAACUCUUGCAUGGUCAUUUUUCUUAGAAUGAUAUUGCCUUUUUUCUUUUUGUGUGUAAGCUGUUAUGUCCUGAUACAAUAGCUCUUCCAUUCUGAUUCUAUUAUGUGCUGUGAACCAAACAUAAAAUAAAAGUUUAAGUAUAGGCACCUUGAAAAUACUUGGGCCAGUAAAGUGCUCUAAACAAGGCGGGCCUUGGAUCAACGGUAAGGUUGCUCCCUUGUGACCGGUUGGUCAUGGGUUCAAGUUUAAGGAAACAGCCUCUCUGCAUAAAAGCAGGGGUGAGGCUGGAUACACUGUUACGACCCUCCUCCUACUCUUGCAAAGCGGGGAGCGUUGUGGCCUGGAGACGCCCUUCUUUUUCCAGUAGAGUGCUCUAAACAAUCAAAGAAAGAUGCCUGGAGGUACUAUUUUGAGGUUCUAUAUGUCAUAAUCGACAGUAAUACAAGCAGAAUGUAAAUGAAGAUGAAACACAGAAGUAACAUAAUAUAAAAAUUAUAACUCAUAAGUCGCGGUAAUAACUUUUAUAAGUUCAUAAUUUUGAACUUGUAUUUUGCAACAAAAGAAGCCCAAGCAGGAAUUAAAAGCAGGUAUCUCUAUGUUGGAAGAGGAAUAAGAAUCUUCGGGAUGCCAUUGCAGUGGCUGUGUUCCAACCAGUCUGGUAAGGGAGGAAUGCUAGAGCCUUUGAAGUUGAAACCUCUUUGGAGGCUUUGAAGAGGAAAUGAUUUUCUGUCUUGCACUUUUGAAUGUGGGGUUCUUUGGGUAGUACCUCUUACUGCCUUGUUGAUUUUUUAGAGAGUAUAUUCUGUGGCGUCUUAUAUUGAUAGGCUUUUCUUGUACUUGGAUGACGACUCCUGGGAAUCCUUUUAGCAAUAGAAAUUCUUUUAUUAUCCCUCCAAAAAAACAAAGACAAUGAAAUCCUUUAUUGCCUUUUGUUUUUCCUCUAUCAUCUGUUGGUUGCAAUCAGCUCCAUUUUUUGCUCAGAUUAGAGGCUUUCACUUUUAUUCAAAGAAGUUCUUUGUUUGAUAGAAAUUGCUUGCUAUCUUCGGAUGGAAUCUCUUGAAAAUUGGCUACUGCUGGUUAUUUUAUAAACUUUGAUAUUUGUAGACCUUGCACUCUUUGGAUUUCUUAUCUGUUUGGCUUGCAUAGCUUAGAUUCCUCUACUCCCUUUCUGAAUAUCCUAGUAUUCAUAUUGGGCUGUCAACAGCAAGUCUGCAGGUUUGAGUCUUAAUUGCAGCUGCACUGGGGCAAAUGUUCCUGGGUUUAGGACAUCCAAAUUUGUACCACUCCUCCAAUGACCAUGAUUGGCAGGACAAUCAUUCUUUUCAUUUUGCAAUUUAAGUUGAUUGCAGUACUUCUUCAUUUAUCUGUUUUACUUGCACAUGCACACGUGUGAAGAGGUGGUGCUAAAUGGAAUAAAAGACAUGACACAUAUUUUGCCUGUGGUGGGUGUAGGUGAGAUUUUUGAAUAAUCUCAUUAACCCCUUCAGACUUUGGUCUUCUAACCUUAUCUUAGGUAAUCCCAGAACACCAGUGAGAAAGCUCUUGUCUAAAAAAUUUCAUUGAUUUCAGAAAUGGUUAUGGGGGUCCUCCAUAGAGGUUGAUUUUGUAUGGCACAAGGUCAUUGGAAGUAUGGUAUGCAUCAAAAUCAUUGGGAUACGAAAGGUAUGAGUGGUGCUUUUAUUUCACAGGUUGCUCAUUCCUUCAAUUUGCUUACUCGGUUCAGAGUUGGAAAUGGGAAUCUCAUUUUGUUUUGGAGGGAUAUUUGAGCAGGUAAGGAUUCAUUGGAGUGCUAGUUCCUUCUACGCCUUUAUAGAUUGUCUUCUAUUCAUAGCGCCCUGAAUAAUGCAUUUUUUUUUUGUUUUUUUUUUUUGGGGGGGUGGGGGUGUUUCUCAUUAUUGGGAUUUUUGUAUUUUUAGGAAGUAGUUAGGGAGCUUAAUGACAAUACCAUUUUGUAGGGAGUGUUGGACUCUUUUGUUCCUUUUAAGUGAGGAAUGAUUUGAGGAUUUGGAUUAGGGAUGCUAUUGGUUCUUAAAUGAAAUCUUUCUUUUCUCAUUUGCUGAAAACCUCAACUUCUUUUUCUUUCCCCUUGAAUAAUUUUAUUUGAAGAGGGAAGGCUUCUCUUAAGAUCAAGGCUUUCAUGUGGACUUUGGCUCUCAAUAGACUUAAUACUAAUAAUUUUUUGGUGAGGCAAUGAUAGUGCCACAAAUUGAUGAUGUUUUUUGUUGAUAUGAUAUUGGGGUUUCCAGAGGAGUAGCAAUGGGUUGGUUUUGUGCAAAUUUGCUAUGUUUUAUCUUUCUUGGAUUUUGUGGAUAGAAAGGAAUGCGAUAUAUAUAUAGAUAGCAAAAGAAGAAAUCUCAUUAGAAAUAGAAGAAUUUACAAAAGGAGAAUGAGAGAUCUCCCGUCAAAAUUCUAGAAAAAUCCAGGGAAAAGAAACUGAAAGCUCAAAAAAAAUACAAUAAAGUAUCAAAGCAAAAAAUUCCUUCAGUAUUACUGAAUAUUUGAAAAGCUCGCUCCAAGCAUCCAAACCAAUGCACCAUUAGGAGGCUAGGUAAUGAAUCUUUUCCCAAACCAAGUGCCUUUUCAAUUUUUUCCCUGAAAAAAUUCAUGCAUUUCGCUCUACAACCAAAAAUCCCACAGCACUGCAAAUAUUCCACAUUUCCAAUGAGCAUCUCUAUCCUUCCCUCUUCGAAACCCCUCAAAAGAAAUAGCCAACAUUCCUUUCAGUGACACUGAACAGACCCAAGCUUCUCCGAGCUUACCAAAUAAUUUAUUCCAGAUGCUCCAAACAAAAUUGCAAUGUAAAUACAAAUGAGAUGCUAACUCAGAAUUCAAGUAACGAAGCACGAAAACAUUUGGAGAUAAGGACUUCAAGGUCUCCAAAUUUGCAAUAGAUUAUUAGUAUUAAUUCUUUUAAGACAAUCAGCCAAAUGAAAGCAGUAAUCUUUAGGGGCUUUGGCCUUCCAAAUACAUGAGAAUAGAGGAAAGCAAGUGUUGGAACGUAUCAAAAAAUCAAAGAAAAAUUUACAAGUAUAAACCCCUAAAGGACCCAAAGCCCAAGACCAAGUAUCCCUAUUUGAAAGAAGAUGACAAUUAUUCAAUAAUGACAAUACAGAGGAGAGUUUCAUCAAUGCUCUAUCAUUUAGAGAUCUUCGAAAAUGUAAGUUCCAAGAAACUAGAGGGCUAAUCAAAUCAACCUCAAAGAGAGAAAUCAUACUAUCUUGCAUGAGCUUAAUCGAAAGAUACGAGGGUAAAUUAAUGUGAGAGAGAAUAAGGGAUAAAUUUGAGAAAUAGAUCUUGAUGGACCCUCCAAAGAACCUCGGAAACUAACAGUGGUUUCCCCACCUAUUCACCCCCAACCCAUGCUUGUUUCUAAUCACUUUAUGCCGAAGGAAAUUAUCUUCUUAGGGAAAACACCAUAACCAUUUAGCUAGGAGAGCGAUGUUAUUAGACAUCAAAUUUCCAAUACCCAACCCUCCCCCCAUUUUUGACUUGCAAACUUCCUCCCACCUAAGUGACCUUGAAAAUCCCUAACUCUAGAGCUUAAGAAGUCUCAUAAUUUUCUCAAUCUUUUUUGCAAUGUCCACUGGAAUUUUAAAGGUAGACAAAUAAUGAGGGGAAACUAGAUAAACAAGUUUGAAUAAGGGUUAGUUUACACCCUAAGGGAAAAGAGAGCCCCUCAUCCAACCUUUUGGCCACUCUUUCCACCAUCGGAUUCCAAAAAUCCAAGGAUCUAGGAUUGCCUCCUAAAGUGACCCCUAAGUUAGUCAAAUGCCACUCUAAAAGACCAAAACCCACCUUAGAAGCCCGCCCUAGCAUGCAUAGAAGGUACAUUUAUAUUAGCUAUACCACUUUUCCCCAAAUUUAUUUAAGCUCCGACACCCUCUCAAAGACAUGGAAGAUACCCAAAAUGCAUUGAAAAAAGGCCUAUGAUCCUCUAGCAAGAAAAUAGUAUCAUCUGCAAUUUGAAGAUGAGAUACUACCACACCCUCUCUCCCCACUUCCAAACCUUUCAUCAAUCCUCGAUCCAUAGCCCUAUCCUCCAUUCUACUCAACACGUCAGUUACUAGGAUAAAUAGAAAUGGGAAAAGUGAGUCCCAGUCUAAUACCUCUAGAAGCCCUAAACCAUGACUUAGGUUCCCCAUUCACAACCACCAAAAACCAUACAUUAGAUAAACAACCCCUCAACCAUCAUCGCCAACACACCAAAAUCCUUUCUCGCAAAAAUUUUGUUCAAACAACUCCAACUAGCUUUAUCAUAAGCCUUCUCAAAUCCAGUUUGGAGAUGAGACCUCUCUUCUUUCUUCUUCAAAUAUCCUCCACUACCUCAUUAGCCACAAAAAUGGAACCACUAUCUAUUGCCCCUCACAAAAUCACUUGAGAGUUGUAGAAAUGGUCUUAUCAAGUACUGCACUUAGUGUAUUAGCUAGAACUUUGCUGAUAAUACUAGAUUGAUAGGUCAAAAGUCCUCUAUCUAAAUGGAUCUUGAUUUCUUAGGUACAGAGUUAAUGUUCUUGCUCAAAAUCCCAUUCCCCUAAAAUUCAUCAAAAGCUUUGAGCAUAUAAUCCUUAAUAGUAUGUUAAAUUAAAACCAUUCGGACCCAGAGCCUUAUCACUACUCAUCCCAAACACCAUCUCCCUCACCUCCUCCCCCUCGAAAGGUCUCUUUAACCAAAGCAUUUGAUCCCUAGAGAUGGGGUUCCACUCUGUACCCUUAACCAUUGGGAGACCUCUUCUUCAGAAUAAAGAUUAACGAAAUAAUUACAAGUCUUUGAAGCUAUUCUAUCAGGGUCAUUAAUAAUUCUCCCUCCUCGCACUCCUAGCUCCCUAAUCAUAUUUCUCCUCAUUUUCCAUUACCUGCAUGUACACAAAUAGGUAAGGCCUAUUAAUCACAGUUUAGAUCAAUUGAAUGCCUUGGUUGAAAGGGGGUCUUUAUCUUCUAACCCUAAGCUUAAUCUCCUUCAUGUUAGUAAUUUGGGUUCGUCCAUGGGCCCCGGAAAUUAGGAGAAGGUUGAUGCUUCUUUGGGGAUAGACUUGUUUUCAUUGCUUCCUUUGGGUACACUCUUUGGGGUCAUUUGGGUAAUUGUCUUUUGGUUGUUUUUAGGAGGAUGUCUUGUCGUUUGUUCUUUGUAAUUCUCUCCUCUUUUUAUGUUAUUCUUUUCCAUCAUUUUUUUUACGAUUAAGAGGUGAAAGAUGUAAGAAAACAAUAUAAAAGAUUGAAUAAACCUUGCUUGGUGGACCUUAAUGUCUUUUUUCGGUCUAUUUGGAUGGUAGUAAUUGGAAGAAACCUUAGCCUUGGUUUGCAACUUGGGAAUUUUACUUAAAACAAGUUACUUUGUACCCAGCUCCUUUGAUGAUAUGCUUUCAAAUUUCUAAUUUUUAUUGAAUUUUGCACCAUAUGGCAUGACUCAAAGUGCUAGAUUUGAGAGUAUAUAUAAGCAUAGUUAAGCUAGUUAAAUUCAAUAUUCAAGUGUUUGGUAUGCUUCUUGGGCUUGUGUUGAGAUUCAAAAUUAAGAGGCUCUUAAGGUUUGCAAGCUAUAAAAGUACUUAAGGAGGGAGUCUCCCUCAUUUUAAGCAUUUUCUUAGAUCUCCAUUGCAGGGGAUUAUCACUUAUUGAUCUUGGUGAAUUUGCUAAAUAUUCAUAAGCUUCGAAGUUUGAAAGCUAUGUUAGGUGGAGUCUAUUACCUCAUCUAAAACCCCUUUCUUGUCUCCUAAAAUUUGUCAAGGAUAACAAUAUCAAUAACAACAACAACAACAACAUGCCUGAAGUCCCACUAGGUUCUGUCGGCUACAUGAAUCCUUUUUGGCGACAUCAUUGAGGGCAUUUUCCCUAACCAACUUACGAGCUAUUAAAUCCUUCCUCACUAUCUCAUUCAAUGUUUAUUUAGGUCUACUCCUCUCCUUCUAAUGCCGGUAAGAAUGACUAGAUCACUCCUCAUUGGUGCGAGGUGCACUAUUCAGCCAACAUUUCAAAUGCCUAGACCAUCUAAAUCGCCUCUCCCUCAUCUUUCACGGUUUAAUCGGUGCUAUGGCUCUCUUAUUGCGAAUAUGUUCAUUCGUUUGUUCCUUGUUAAUGUUAUACUACUCAUCCACCUCAGAAUUUACAUUUUGGAAACUUCUAAUUUUUGGAUAUGUUGUUUCUUUAUUGCCGAACUUUUUGAUCCACGGAGCAUGACUGGCCUUAUAGUCGUCCUAUAGAACUUCCAUUUUAAUUUUAAGGGUAUUCUACGAUCACACAACAUGCUAAAAGCACCCCUCCAUGAACUUUAAGUGUAUGUAUCACAUCCUUUUUGAUUUCUCCUUUUGCUUGCAUAAUAGAUCUAAGUUAUUAAAAUUUGCUAGUACUAUUAAUUUCUUUCCCAUCAAAUUUAAUCUUGUCUUUAAUGUUCCUCAUAUGGUUGAAAUUACAUUUCAUAUAUUCUAUCUUAUUUCUACUUAUCCUAAAGCCUCUAGACCCUAUAGUUGCUCUCCAUACUCCUAUUUUCAUCAGUCAAAACAAUAUUAUUUGUAAACAACAUAAACAAUGCAAUCUCAUUCUAGAUAUUUUGAGUGAGUUCAUCAAUCAUUAAAUAUUAGUAGAACCUUGAUGUACACCUAUUGUGGUUGGUAAUUCAUGCUAGCCAUCAUACAUAUCUUUAAUGGCAUCUAUGAACCUAUUUCAUACUCCCUCCUUUCCCAAAACCCACCAUAGAAGUUCCCGAGGUACUCUAUCAUAGGCGUCCUCUAGGUUAAUAAAAACCAUGUGCAAGUCCUCUUUUCUUUUCCCCUAAACUUUUCCAUUCAUCUCCUUCAAAGAUAAAUAAUUUUUGUUGUCAAUCUCCUAGGCAUAAAACCAAAUCGAUUCUUUGAUACCCUUGUUUCCAAUAUUAUUUUUUGCUAAAUUAACCUUAACCAAAAUUUCAUUGUAUGACUCAUAAGUAUAAUUUUGCAGUAGUUAUUAUAAUUUUGAAUAUCACCUUAAUUUUUGUAUAUAGGUUUUAACGUGCUUUUCCUCCAUUCAUUUGAAUUAUUUUUUUUAUAGUUAGCUAUAUGCUUCCAUUAUCCUUUAGACAUUUGCAAACUUCAAUUGGGAUGUUAUCUAGUUCUAUUGAUUUCCUAUUUUUCAUCUUUUUAAAAGCUAUUUUAACUUUAGUGGCUAAUGUUGCGAAUAAAUUUCAUAUUUUUAUUCUUUUCUUCAUUUGUCACUUCUAAGUUUAAGCUUUCAAUUUGGUUUUCAUAAAUAACACACUAAAGUAUCUUCGUCCCCUCUCUUUUAUAUCUUCUUUAACCAAUACAUUAUUAUUCUCAUCCUUUAUACAUUUUACAUUACCUAAAUCCUUGCAUUGUCUUUUUCUAGCUCUAGCAAGUUUAUAAAUAUGUCUCUUUCCCUUUCUUUUGUGUCUAGUUUAGCAUAUAAAUGCAGCUCUUUUUAGUUUCAUUAAUUGUAUUUUUUGCAUCUUUUUUUGCCUCUUUAUAUUUUUCAAGGUUUUCUAUGUUACUAUAGUUUUGCCACGUUUUAUACCAAUUUAUUUUUGUUUUUAAGACUUUUCGAACACCUUCAUUCUGCCAUCAACUUUCUUUAUUGCUUGAGAAUCUGCUUCUAGAUUCACCUAAAAUCUCUUUUGCUGUCUUUGUAAUAAAGCUAGCCAUCCUCUUCCACUAGGUGUUCACAUCUAUCUUACCCACUAUUGUCCACUCACCCCCUUUGAUAAUUUUAUCUUUUAAUUUUAUUAUACUUUCUCCCAUUAGAUUCCACCACCGAGUCUUGCAUUUAUUUAUGUUGUUCUUUCUUUUCCAUUUUUUAAUGGAUAUAUCUAAUUAUUAAAAGUCAAUGUUGUGUAGUCAAAACUUUCUUCUAGUUUAGAAAUAAAUCUAUUUGGCUUUUAUUUUGUCUACUCUUGAAGGUUAUUAAGUGUUAUUCUCUUUUCUUAAAGCAAGUAUUCAUUAUAACAAGAUCGUAUGACAUGGCAAAAUCUAAAUUCAUAUCAUUGGGCUCAUUUUUAACUCCAUAGUCAUGACCUCAAUGUAUCUUCUCAAUACUUUUACUAUCCUUUCCAAUGUGUCCAUCCAAAUCUAAUAUUGUAUGACAUGGAAAAAUAAGUCCCUCACAAAAUUGCUUUUUAAGUUUUUCAACAAGCCUAGUUGGGGAGCAUAUGCAUUAAUGACACUUGUUAUCUUUUGGCCUAAAGAUUUCUUGAUUUUUAUGAUUGUCUCUACAUUUAUCACUCCUUUCAGAUCUUUGUAUACAAUGAUACCUGCCCAUUUUUAUGUUUUCCUUUUCCAAUGUGCCAAAGCUUAAACCUUGAUUUGUCAAUUUCUCUAACUUUCUCUUUUAUCCACUUUGUCUCUUAAAGGCUGAUUACUUUAAUAUUUCUUUUAAUUAUUGUGUUAACUAUCUCCAUGCAUUUUCUAUAAGUGUUGCUAAUCUAAUCCUAGUUUCUUGCACUAACUUCUUAACCUUGUCUUGGCCAUAAUGACCCAACCUAGCCCACCCUAGCCCAUUUUUGGCUGCACUAGGGUUAUGCAAGUAUAAUGCAUUAGUCAAAGGGAUGCCCCAUUGAACAUUUGCUAAAGAUUCAUGCCAUAAUGAUCUGUCAAGUUUUACACUGACUAUCAGCUACCUAACACAAUCCUACUCCUUUACCCAAGCUUGGGACCGGCUGUGUACUGAUAUUUAGGAUGCUUGGUGCUAUACUGGCAGAGUGCAUGUAUAUAUGAAUUUGAGUGAAAAACAUGAAGAUGUUGUUUGGAAACUAGGUUGAAAUUAGGUUUGGUGCAUAUAUAUUGAAAUCAGGUUAGAAUGUAAUGCAUCUUGACUGAAAGCAGAAGGUGGUGAAUGCAAGUAUGUAUGUUUGUGAGCACGCAUGUUAGUGAGGUUUCAGAUUAAUAGAUUUGGUGCAAUCUGAAGUAGGUAAAAGAUUAAUGCAUGCAUAGUAUGAAUACUGGUUACUGGAUGGUUGGAAGAUGAGCUUGAUUUUCUUUAACACAAUAAACAUGGACUUGGUCGGUUGGUUGUUUUAUUCGCAUAAAUUACCUCUUACCAAAAAUCUUUGGAAGGGCCUACUUGAAAGGGCAUUCUGUGGAUUCUGCUUACAAACUGGCUGGUUUUUGUGCUCACUAAAGAACUCUGUUUUGCUAAUGUGGAGCCUUGAAUAGAAUCGUCUUCUGAGAUCAGCUGGUUGCUGUGGAACAUUUUAUUGUGUUAUCUUGGUUCAUUGAAAAACCUCAUGUCAUGUUUGGUUUGCAGAAUGUCUAUUUUACAAAUAGAGUGGUUAUAAUAGAAGAAUUUGAUAAUUUACAUAAAAAGUGUUACUAUCAUGAAGAACAUUGCAAUACAAAAAAUUUUAUUAAUGCAUAACCAUGAAUAGACUAGAAAGGACUAUUCCUAAAUUUCGCAAGGAAUGUUUAUUUCUUAUCCCAUGUUGGACAGAAUAACCUAGGUCUAGAAUGCAGAUCUUGUCAAGAGCUGCAUUAUGAUUACGGAUUCUAGAUAUAGGUUUUUAACAUUUUAACAGAGGCUAUUGAUAUGAUGUCUCAGACAAUGAUUGAGCAUCACUUCACACUUGCAUAUAUCUUGGUGGAAAUUAGGACGUCAUGGACGUGAAGCUAUAUUGUAUUUGUACUCUGAAUCACAGAUGAGUUCUAGUUGUUUGUCAGCAUCAGAAAUGAGUUCUACUUUGCAUUCAUAGGAUCAUUUUCAAGAGCUUAUGAAUUUUGCUACUGUGAUAUUCUUUGUUACGAUUUGUGUUAAUGCCCCCUCUUCACUCUUUUAGGGAGUACUGAUUGAAUUUUCUCAUGUAUUACUGGUUUCCCCUCAAAUGCUAUAGAAAAUAUGAUUACAUAUUUAAAUUAUGAGCCUGGUGAGCCCCUCGUCUCUAUGUCGAUUUAGCAAUCUAUGUGCUCGUUGGAUUUUUGUUUUUGCGUAUGUGGGUGUGCGUGCAUGCAUGUGUGCAGGUCUUGUGAGGAUCAAACUGGAGGGUGGCCAGUGAGAUACAUACUUUAAAAGAGGUGAAAUGUGCAAUGUUUUUUUUUUUGUUUCCCCCUUGUGCAGGUGCAAUGUUUUUUCUUGCCCCUCCCACAUUAAAAUCAUGAAUUUCUAUAAAUAUCAAGCAUUGUGUUUGUAGCAUGUAUUGAUCCGUAUCUGUUGGACCAAGGAUCUUGCUCAUGCCACUCUUCAUAUGGCGCAAUGUAAAAUUAAAUAUUUGUUUAUAAAUUUAGUAUAUUUUUUUUAUUUAUUUUUCUCAAUUUUCCUUGAUGAUUAAACAAGCAAAUGUGAAUUUUGUGAUAUAUAUAUUUUUUCUUUUUCUUAAUA